rnacentral:rRNA from 1 species
GAUGAACGCUGGCGGCGUGCCUAAUACAUGCAAGUCGAGCGAACAGACGAGGAGCUUUCUCCUCUGACGUUAGCGGCGGACGGGUGAGUAACACGUGGAUAACCUACCUAUAAGACUGGGAUAACUUCGGGAAACCGCAGCUAAUACCGGAUCAUAUAUUGAACCGCAUGGUUCAAUAGUGAAUGACGGUUUUGCUGUCACUUAUAGAUGGAUCCGCGCCGCAUUAGCUAGUUGGUAAGGUAACGGCUUACCAAGGCAACGAUGCGUAGCCGACCUGAGAGGGUGAUCGGCCACACUGGAACUGAGACACGGUCCAGACUCCUACGGGAGGCAGCAGUAGGGAAUAUUGCGCAAUGGGCGAAAGCCUGACGGAGCAACGCCGCGUGAGUGAUGAAGGUCUUCGGAUCGUAAAACUCUGUUAUUAGGGAAGAACAAAUGUGUAAGUAACUAUGCACGUCUUGACGGUACCUAAUCAGAAAGCCACGGCUAACUACGUG